GAUGAACGCUGGCGGCGUGCCUAAUACAUGCAAGUCGAGCGAACAGACGAGGAGCUUGCUCCUCUGACGUUAGCGGCGGACGGGUGAGUAACACGUGGAUAACCUACCUAUAAGACUGGGAUAACUUCGGGAAACCGGAGCUAAUACCGGAUAAUAUAUUGAACCGCAUGGUUCAAUAGUGAAAGACGGUUUUGCUGUCACUUAUAGAUGGAUCCGCGCCGCAUUAGCUAGUUGGUAAGGUAACGGCUUACCAAGGCAACGAUGCGUAGCCGACCUGAGAGGGUGAUCGGCCACACCGGAACUGAGACACGGUCCAGACUCCUACGGGAGGCAGCAGUAGGGAAUCUUCCGCAACGGGCGAAAGCCUGACGGAGCAACGCCGCGUGAGUGAUGAAGGUCUUCGGAUCGUAAAACUCUGUUAUUAGGGAAGAACAAAUGUGUAAGUAACUAUGCACGUCUUGACGGUACCUAAUCAGAAAGCCACGGCUAACUACGU
rnacentral:rRNA from 1 species